UACACAUGCAGUCGACGGUAGCACAGAGGAGCUUGCUCCUUGGGUGACGAGUGGCGGACGGGUGAGUAAUGUCUGGGAAACUGCCCGAUGGAGGGGGAUAACUACUGGAAACGGUAGCUAAUACCGCAUAACGUCGCAAGACCAAAGAGGGGGACCUUCGGGCCUCUUGCCAUCGGAUGUGCCCAGAUGGGAUUAGCUAGUAGGUGGGGUAACGGCUCACCUAGGCGACGAUCCCUAGCUGGUCUGAGAGGAUGACCAGCCACACUGGAACUGAGACACGGUCCAGACUCCUACGGGAGGCAGCAGUGGGGAAUAUUGCACAAUGGGCGCAAGCCUGAUGCAGCCAUGCCGCGUGUAUGAAGAAGGCCUUCGGGUUGUAAAGUACUUUCAGCGAGGAGGAAGGCGUUGUGGUUAAUAACCGCAACGAUUGACGUUACUCGCAGAAGAAGCACCGGCUAACUCCGUGCCAGCGGCCGCGGUAAUACGGAGGGUGCAAGCGUUAAUCGGAAUUACUGGGCGUAAAGCGCACGCAGGCGGUCUGUCAAGUCGGAUGUGAAAUCCCCGGGCUCAACCUGGGAACUGCAUCCGAAACUGGCAGGCUAGAGUCUUGUAGAGGGGGGUAGAAUUCCAGGUGUAGCGGUGAAAUGCGUAGAGAUCUGGAGGAAUACCGGUGGCGAAAGCGGCCCCCUGGACGAAGACUGACGCUCAGUGCGAAAGCGUGGGGAGCAAACAGGAUUAGAUACCCUGGUAGUCCACGCCGUAACGAUGUCGACUUGGAGUUGUGCCCUUGAGCGUGCUUCCGGAGCUAACGCGUUAAGUCGACGCUGGGGAGUACGCGCAGUAAACUCAAUGAAUGACGGGGC
rnacentral:rRNA from 1 species